AAAAGUGCUAUAUGAGAAAACAUAGUGUAAUUAAUUGUGGUCUGAGGCCUGAUAUAGUGGGAUGUUUGACACAGGGUGACACACUUUAAUACUUAAUUGUCAGGUAACUAUAACGGUUACAGGACUGAAAAUGUACAGGCUAAUUGUCAAGAUAGGUAGAAAUCUGAAACUAAUCAGUUUGAAUGAUGAUUUUAUUUAUUUUUUAAAUUAUAUUAAAUUAAAUUAUAUUUAUAUUUCAAAAUUUGUAAUUUCACAAAUUUUGGCAUGAUUUUUGCCUUCAUUGUACCCCUAUCAGGUCAUAGGUCAUUCUUUUCAAUCAGAAUGUAUUCUUACACCUUGUGGCAGCCUCACUUUGAAGGUUAAGAUUAAAUAAGUCAAUAUGGAGGAUUUAUUUAAUGAUGUUUGAUACAGGGUGACACACUUUGAUACCUAAUUGUGAUCCUGCACCUAAUCAUGAAUGUAUAAUAUGGAAUGGGCCCCCAGACCAAAUGGAUAUGGUGCUAUUAAAUUCAAAUCACCAAUCACAGGCCAGUAUCAUACAGUAAAUGCUCACAGAUUAAGUUUCAUGGUCUUUAAUAAGGAGAUGGACAUAGAUGGCAGAGACAUCAGUCACCUGUGCCAUAACCGUCUUUGUAUGUUUAAAGAUCAAUUAUCUGCUGAGCCACAUGCAAUAAACAGCUCAUGAAUACAGUGUGUGAACAGGAAUGUCUGUCAGGGACAUGGGCAAUACACACACACACACACACACACACACACACACACACACACACACACCGCGCCUCUUGCAUCUCAGAAUGCAAAACUUAUAAUAAUGUAAAACAAUAACAAAGGUUAAUUUAAAUUAAAAUAAUUAUGUCAUAAAAUCACAUAUAAAUAUCACAUCAUACAUUUAUUCAACAUCAUACAUUUAUUCACAUGACUGUUUUGGAAUGUAUAAAUUCACUCUUCAAUGCCUAGGGUUUAUGUCCACAGCAGAAAUGCUAUCAAGCAAACUGAUAGUUCCUACAUUAUAUGUAUAACUUGAAACUGUCACAAAAACUAUUUUGAAUAACCGUGGUCACAGGAGUUAUCUGCUCUUUGACUGUCAAUAUCUAAUAAUCCUUUCUUAUAGUCAGCUUGCUGAUCUCUGUGUAAAUGUUUAUAUUGUAAGUGAUCUCUAAUUUUACUUCCAUGCUAGACUAAGUGCCUUUUAACCACCUGUGGAUUCUUUUGGUAUCGUUUUUCAUAGUCCGACUCUUUGUCCAUCUGAUGUAACGAAUGCGCCACCCGAGCUGACAGUUCGAUGCCACAGUACUUGCAUUUUUCUAUCGUCGAUGUUCCCGGGGCAUUGUUCAGCCUAUGGGUGGUGGAUGCAGCUCUUCCAGUCAUCGUUCGUGAACAGUUCACAAUUUUAGCUCUGUGAUUCGGUGUGUACCCAGGAACAUGAAUCGGUGCCACCAGUUGUUCGUUACUCCUCCACUGCAGACGACUGAGUACCGUGAACACUUUGAACAAUCACCACCGUAGCAUGAAAGUGUUGAUUGCAGAACCUUUGAUGCAGUACAUUUACUCUUAAUGGGACGUAGCAGGCAGACUGGCUGUGAGGCACCUUCGCAAUCUGGAGUGAAGAUGGUGGCUAAAGUGGAACUCGACUUCGUGACCAAGGCAAACUCCUCUAUAUUCAUCCGGACUACAGGUCGCAACUUCUUAGUCUCCGAUGAUUCUGGACUUGCAUGUUCAUGUGGCAGAGUUUUACCCUUAUUCCAAGGUGUAUGCCCCUUCUUGAACUGUGUCUUUCGUCUUGUAUUGCCUUCCAUGGAUGUGACUUGUAGUGUAUAAAACAGUGAAAUACUUAUUGUGGUAUACAUGUCCACACUUAUAUAUGCCAGGCCAUGUGUGAUGUCACCUUCAGUUUCGAUACAUUAAAACAUUUCAAUGCA
rnacentral:lncRNA from 1 species